GAUGAAGAACGCAGUGAAAUGCGAUAAGUAAUGUGAAUUGCAGAAUUCAGUGAAUCAUCGAAUCUUUGAACGCACAUUGCGCCCGUCAGUAUUCUGGCGGGCAUGCCUGUUCGAGCGUCAUUACGCCCCUCAGGUCCCCUGUGGACUUGGUGUUGGGGAUCGGCGAGGCUGGUUUUCCAGCACAGCCGUCCCUUAAAUUAAUUGGCGGUCUCGCCGUGGCCCUCCUCUGCGCAGUAGUAAAACACUCGCAACAGGAGCCCGGCGCGGUCCACUGCCGUAAAACCCCCCAACUUUUUAUAGUUGACCUCGAAUCAGGUAGGACUACCCGCUGAACUUAAGCAUAUCAAUAAGCGGAGGA
rnacentral:misc_RNA from 1 species